CUGCGACUCGUACCUCUCUCACACCCUCCAGAGAUGAGCUGCAGCAGGGUAAGGCUACUGUCAUGUAUAUUAUUCCAAAAGGAUUCCCCUCUGACUGGAAGCUGAGCUGGAAGGUGAACGGCUGCGGCAGGAGCUCUGGUGUCAAUCUGAGUCCCAGUCAGCUGCAGAAGGAUGGACUGUACAGCUGGAGCAGCAGCCUGAGCCUCACUGAGAGUGAGUGGAGCAGAGUAAAAACCGUCAGCUGUAAAGCCACUCACCCGUCCCACAAUGCAAUGACCAAAAGCCUCAACACACAGCAGUGCGAUAAUGACCAGUGA